AAGCACGGUUGUCACGCGCCAGGCGGAGAGCGUGGAGCCACAACUGCGCCUGCGCUCUAGGCUUUCUGGCGGCCAGGAGCUACUGCAUUCCAGGUUUGGGAUGGAGCUGCAAAUUUUUUCCAUUCCGUAAAGAACGAAAAGGUGUUUCCCUUCUGAGACAAGUGUUUUCUUCAGUGCCUACUUGGAUCUUAGGAAGGACGAAAAUGUCUAGCUUCUGGGUCUAUAUCCUCAUAUGUAAACAAUAUGACACUUGGAUUGAAGUGAGCAGUAGGCUUGCCAUGUGUUUAUACUGUACUUCCCUCCCUUGGAUGAGAACAUGAAGAGCAAAGGAAGUGAACCGUCCAAGUCUUACAGGUUUCCGGGCUUGUGCUUCUUGGUCCUGCCCAGCCUCCGCCCUUGUUCCUAUUCUGUUCUCUGUGUCAGCCCAGCCAUGGCACUCUUCUGCCUUUUUCUCAUCUUGAUUUCCUUGGAG